AUGAAGGUGUUGUCACCCGUUGGGGUGUUACCCGCCUUCCUCGCAAGACUCACAGAGGUCUGCGUAAGGUGGCUUGUAUUGGUGCCUGGCAUCCUGCUAGGGUUUCCUUCACAGUUGCCAGAGCUGGUCAGAAUGGAUACCAUCAUCGUACUGAAAUGAACAAGAAGGUUUACAAGCUUGGCAAGGGUGGACAGGAGUCUCACACUGGCAUAACUGAAUUUGACAGGUCAGUGUUAAGAACUAAUGGACAUACGGUUUAAUCUGGUUAAUUGGCUUGUCUUUUUACUCCCCCCCCAAAACAAAAAAAAAAAACCUAAAAAAAAAAAAUUAAUGGUUUCUUGUGUGGGUAAUGGUUCAGGACUGAGAAGGACAUUACCCCAAUGGGUGGCUUUCCUCACUAUGGUAUUGUGAAAGAUGAUUAUUUGAUGAUCAAGGGAUGCUGUGUUGGACCUAAGAAGAGGGUGGUCACGCUUCGUCAGUCGCUUCUCAAACAGACAUCUCGUUUAGCUCUUGAGGAAAUCAAAAUCAAGUUCAUUGAUACCUCUUCCAAGUUUGGGCAUGGCCGCUUCCAGACUACACAGGAGAAACAGAAGUACUAUGGACGCAUGAAAGCAUAAUUAUGCUAAAAAGACAAGAGUUUU
rnacentral:lncRNA from 1 species